UGCCAGCCGCCGCGGUAAUACGAAGGGCCCGAGCGUUAUUCGGAAUCACUGGGCUUAAAGCGUACGUAGGCGGAUGCGCAGGCAUCUUGUGAAAUCCCUCGGCUCAACCGAGGAACUGCAGGGUGAACCGCGUAUCUUGAGACAGGUAGGGGUUGUCGGAACGCUAGGUGGAGUGGUGAAAUGCGUUGAUAUCUAGCGGAACGCCAAAGGAGAAAUCAGGCAACUGGGCCUGUUCUGACGCUGAGGUACGAAAGCGUGGGGAGCGAACGGGAUUAGAUA
rnacentral:rRNA from 1 species